UUACAUUAAAAUAUUUUUUUUUGAGAUUUUUGACAGUUAGAAGUGCGGUUACACUAUACACGUGUUCGCUUGGCAAAACAAAAAUUAAAAUGCGCAAAAAGCAAGCUGAUGAAAUACCCGGGUUCCCGUCGUUAGACAAUGAUGGCCGGGCGGGCGAACAAGGCGACGAUAUUCUUAAAAGUAAGCCCAAGUCCAAGAAAAGCGGUGGAUUUCAGUCGAUGGGUUUGGGUUUCGAGUUAAUCAAGGGCAUAACCAAGCGGGGGUACAAGGUGCCUACUCCCAUCCAAAGGAAGACGAUUCCUCUGAUCCUGGAAGGCCGUGACGUGGUGGCCAUGGCCAAGACAGGUUCUGGUAAGACCGCCUGCUUCCUCAUUCCGCUGUUCGAAAAGCUGCAAAGGCGGGAACCUACAAAAGGCGCCCGUGCCCUGAUCUUGUCACCCACAAGAGAGUUGGCUGUGCAAACGUACAAGUUUAUCAAGGAACUGGGCCGUUUUAUGGAGCUAAAGACCAUCCUGGUGCUUGGCGGCGACUCCAUGGACUCACAAUUCUCGGCGAUACACACUUGCCCCGACCUCAUCGUUGCCACACCGGGUCGUUUCCUCCAUUUGUGUGUGGAAAUGGAUUUGAAGUUGAAUUCCAUAGAGUAUGUCGUGUUUGACGAAGCCGAUCGACUUUUUGAGAUGGGCUUUGGCGAGCAGCUAAAUGAAACGCUGCACAGAUUGCCGUCGUCCCGGCAGACGGUCAUGUUUUCGGCAACAUUGCCAAAGCUCUUGGUGGAUUUUGCCCGCGCGGGGCUAAAUGACCCUGUCCUUAUCCGUUUGGAUGUUGAGUCUAAGCUCCCAGACGCACUGGCUUUAAAAUUCCUGUACUGCCGGCCCGACGACCGUUACACAGCUCUAGUGGUGCUUCUAAAGUACGUGAUACCGGUUGAGUCGCAGACCGUAGUGUUUGCAGGCACGCAGCAUCAUGUCGAACUAAUAUCGUACAUCCUCACCGAGGCUGGUAUCUCUAACACCUCUGUCUACUCAAGCCUGGACCCGGCUGCACGCAAAAUAAACACCGCCAAGUUUGUGAACAAGAAGGUUUCUGUCCUAAUCGUUACCGACGUGGCAGCUCGCGGAAUCGACAUUCCCAGCUUGGACUUUGUGGUUAACCUCCAUUUCCCGGGUAAACCGAAGUUAUUUGUGCACCGCGUCGGUCGAUGCGCUCGAGCAGGACGUACAGGAACCGCAUACUCUAUAUUUUCCACCGACGACACAGCCCAUUUACUCGAUCUACACUUGUUCUUAAACAGGCCAUUUAACAUUAAUGACAGCGCGGCAUUGGGAACCAUUCCCCAAGAUUUGCUCGAGGAAGAGCACCUCACAGUAACCGAUAUCAAGAAGAGUCACCACAUUGCCGGAGUGUUGCGCACCAGUGAAAACGCUUAUAAGAAGUACUUAAGUUCCCGUCCAGUGGCAUCCACAGAUGCCAAUGCUCGCGUAAAGAAAAUCAAGUUCUUCGCGCUAAAGCCGUUGGAAGAUUUCUUCACAGCUGCUCCAGUUAUAGCCCAAGCUGCAAAAGUAAAUGGACAAUCGACUGAGUCACAAGCAAAGGUGGCUGCAGCCGAGCGAAAGCUCCAGGAGGAGAAGCACGAUUUAUUGGUUAAAAUGCGUAAUUUCCGACCGGGUGGUACUGUUUUUGAACUUAAUACCACGCAGAAAUCUACGCAAUUUGUGGUUAUGAAGGAGAAACGUUCUCAGCACGCUGAAGUAAUUCAAAAGUUUAGGCAACAACGCGCGGAAGAGGACAUCGACGAGGCGAAGAAAGAGGCCCAGUCGCACAAGCUAGUUGACGCCAGAAUGCCAACCGCCGACGAGGAGGCCAUUAGCAGUACAUUCAGUAAAGUCGUGGCUCCCAAAAGGCUCUCAAAUAUGGACGCUCUGUACAAAGAAAAGCCAAAGAAAAAAAAGCGAAAGAUGAACAGUAAAGACGACGAACACUAUGUGCCGUACCAGUCGGCGGAUAAACAUACGGAGGAUGGCCUGGCCAUCAACACGUUUGAGCGCCAAGCGCAGAAUGCCGAGUUCUCGGUGUCGGAUCGCAACUUAUCUCAGGAGGUGAAGCACAAGCCUGGGUUAAAGAAGUGGGACCGCAUUAAAAAGAAAAUGGUCUCAGUGCAGGACCCUCGAGCCAACAAGAUUCGCACAGAGUCCGGUGCAUGGAUUCCUGCCUCCUUUAAAACUGGCCGCUACACAGAGUGGAAGGAAAAAUCCAAGAUUGAGGACCUUCUGCAACGUGAAAACGCAGGCAGCGAUGACGAAAAAGCAAAUCCUCUGAGCCAUGCCCAGCGCUAUCCAAUUAGUCGCCACGCUCGGCAUAACGUAAAACUGGAACUGAAGAAACGUCUUAGCGGAAACGACAAGGAAAUGCGGCGCCCCGAGCAAAUUGUCAAGGCACGCAUGCGCUUAGAGUUCAUCAAAAAACGCAACGAGGAGAACGCGGAGAAAAAGAAUGAGAACCGCAAGCGGAGCAUGCGAAAAAGUCAGCGCCCAAAAGCACAAUCAACUGGUGGGUCUAGGAAAAGGAAAUAACAGUGUUUGGAGGUGGAACAGAUCACCACUUAAAAUGCUGUGUGCGGCGGCAUAAACGUAUUGUUGUCGUCGCCCGCAGAUAGUCACGUAAAUGAAUGUUCUUAAAAUGGACAUUCGCCUCUUCCGCCUCACGAUUUAAAAUGCUGAUUAAACGCGUCUCCCAAAAAAAACUUAAAAUAUUUGUUUUACAUCGGACUCUUGUGGUGGAGAGCUCCCCAAUGUUGUUUAAAUAUUAAAAAGUUUUUUAUAAAAAUACAUGAUAAAAUACGUGAA